AUAAUGCCCAGAAAAUGAAGCAGAGCAAAAUUGAAGUCAAGCCAAGAAGAUGUCGAGAAAAAGUCUCAGACCUAAUGGCACUGUGGCGCCAAUUCAUUCAAUAUUUGAGAAUGAAAUUCGACUUUCAUGACUGAAAAUUAAAUCGUCUUUAGUAGAUAGAGAUUUAUAAUGCAGAACGGCGCCCCUAGGUGACACAGUUAAGCAGUCAACUACUGCACAAGCCCAAGGUUGGCAUUUGGAACACACCCAGCGGCCCCUUGGAAGACAGGCCUGGAAACCUGCUUCGGAAAGAGCGCAGCUUGUGAAGAAGCGACCCGGCUCCCACGGGCUCCCCCCGUGAGUCAGCAAUGUGAAGGCAACUAACCAACCACGCAACGUGGGGAGACUGUCCGUAACGUAGCUGACCAGACCAGUGGCUUCUUGGCCCUAAUUCUCAGCUGGAAUUGCACAAACCGUACUCGAGGAAAGGGUUUACAAAUGUAUUUACAGGGGGAAAGGGUUCCCUUAAAAAGGAAAAAGUUUAACUCUAAGCCUCCAUCGGUUAAAACAACCAGUGCAUCUUCCACAAGUAAAGAUAAUCAAUGUGUCCUCACCCUAACAAUUUACAAAAGGGAAAUACAAGCAAAAUAGGUUGUGCGAAUAAUUUUAAACAUAAUGAAUUAACUGGCGAGAAUUGUCUAGCCAAAUGUUGUGAACAUAUCCUAAGCCAAGUUUUCACUUUUAAUUUCCUAAUGAAAUACUUAUUCAGGAAGUAGAUCCCGAAGAAGUAGUUUUGUUACAGCUAAGAUGUAUAUUUUUUUAAAUUUAUGGAACAUGACUUUAAUUUAUUUUGUGAGCACUUUUAAAAUGUAAAUGUUGCGUUGUAACUGACACUAUGUGUUUCUUAAUAAAAGAAUUCUCUGAUGGA